UACGUAGGGAGCAAGCGUUGUCCGGAAUCAUUGGGCGUAAAGCGCGCGUAGGUGGCUUCGUAAGUCCGUUGUGAAAGUCAAAGGCUCAACCUUUGAAAGCCGAUGGAUACUGUGAAGCUAGAGUCCGGAAGGGGCGAGUGGAAUUCCUGGUGUAGCGGUGAAAUGCGCAGAUAUCAGGAGGAACACCAAUGGCGAAGGCAGCUCGCUGGGACGGUACUGACGCUGAGGCGCGAAAGCGUGGGGAGCAAACAGG
rnacentral:rRNA from 1 species